rnacentral:rRNA from 1 species
UACGGGGGGUGCGAGCGUUGUCCGGAAUCACUGGGCGUAAAGGGCGCGUAGGGUGGUCUGAUAAGGGUGUGGUGAAAGCCCGGGGCUCAACCCCGGGUCGGCCGUGCCGACUGUUAGACUAGAGUGCUGUAGGGGCAGGCGGAAUUCCGGGUGUAGCGGUGGAAUGCGUAGAGAUCCGGAGGAAGACCGGUGGCGAAGGCGGCCUGCUGGGCAGAUACUGACACUGAGGCGCGACAGCGUGGGGAGCAAACAGG